rnacentral:lncRNA from 1 species
AAACUUUGUCACUUAAUGGUGAUGAUGGGUUGAAUAUUGAGAGUUAAGGCUUAAUGAUUAUGCUAGUGGUUAUUUUAUUGAUUAUGCUAGUGAUUAUACUAUUUAUUGAGCUAGUGAUUAUGCUAUUGCUUAUGAUAUUUAAUAUAUGGCUACUGGUUCAAGUCUAGAUAUUGAUUAUAAUAUUUAUAAUAUACUUAUCAAUUUAAGUCUGAGCAUUUAUUAUGAUAUGAUGGUGCAUGACUAUUGGUUUGAGUCCAGAUAUUAAUAAUGACAUUAAUGAUAUUAUUAUUGGUUAGAGUCCAGC